UUGCACAUUUUUCAAGACGACCAAAGGCUCGGUUGCGGUGGCGUACAAGGGGCACAACUACCACAAGAACUACGAAGGCAAGGACGGGAUCAUAUCGUGGUUGUGUGCUAGGAGGCCGUGUAGGUGCAGGAUCCGGACGCUGGGGACAGAAGUUUUGAGCAUCUCUCGCCCUCAUCAACAUGAAUGAAGCGUUCGUCAUCAUCUAUUCUAAUAUUAUAAAGAGGCCCUUGCACAUUUUUCGAGACGACUAAGGGCUCGGUCGCGGUGUCGUACAACGGGCACAACUACCACAAGAACUACGAAGGCAAGGACGGCGUCAUUUCGUGGUCGUGUGCCAGGAGGCCGUGUAAGUGCAGGAUCCGGACGCUGGGGACACAAGUUUUGGGAAUUAUUCGUUCUCAUCACCAUGACUGAAGCGUUCGUCAUCAUGUCCGAGAAUUUUGUUGAUGAAGCAAUUAUGAGCUGGGAGAAGUUAUAAUGUUGUGUGCAGUUUUUGCCCUUAAACAUAAAUAUCGGAAAAUAUUCUAUUAGUGUGAAUGCCAAUUAAUUGCGUGUGUUGUUAAAUAAAUCUUCAAAAGAGGUAUUA